AAUAACACUGAAAAUUGAGCUUAUUUUUUAAAUGUUCGACUGUUAUUAUUUUUGCUUUACUGCUCCGUGAAUUCCUAUUAGCGGCCCAACUGCACAGCGGGUGUGAUGGUGGGCACAUUUUCACCUGAGAAAACGGCAGGUGACAGCAGCAGACGUGCAAAGGCUGAAAACCAUGGCAGUCGGUCGGUUUCCACUGUUGAUGAAUAAAUAACAGGACAAUAGAGAUCACAGUCGCUGUAUCAUGUAACCCAGACGUUCACAAACUUAACAAACUCCAUUUAAUUUGAUUUUUAGGGCUAUCUUGGUUUUUUUUUCUUAGAAUAUGUGAUUUUAUAUGUAGUUUACUGUUGGUGAGAUUCAUAAAACCUACUAAAAUAAUAAACUAUAAUAAUUGCAUGUGUUAAUUUCAUAAUGGUGCAAUUCAGCUUGUUUGUGGACCAUGAAGUACCCCCACACAUGAACCCUAGUGGUCCUCAGGCCCUAUUUUGGGGUCCAUUCUCAACAUCAAGGCAACACAUCACAUAUUCCAGAAAACAUCAAUAUGUAAACACAAUUUAAAAAAAUACAUUAUCUCAGCAAUACAAGUUUUCUUCCACACAUCUUACAUUGUCCAUCAUUGACUGACUGCCUCAGCUGUGGACCAGAGCAUAAAGCCAGCUGACAGCAGUAACCAACUCUAUCAUCUCCACUAGAGGGAGGGCUAUCUCACAACAAGGCCACCAAGGAGCUGCAGCAGAGGCCAGCUCCCCCUGUGGUGCCACAACAGUGAAGUGACCUUGUCACCAGGGUGCCAUGUGUCACAGUGGGGGGACCCAGUGGGAGAGGAUGGGGUGAACAGAUCAUCUCCCUGCAUGCCUGGUACCAGUGCCCUACCCUUCCUGCUCCCACCACAGGCCCAGCACCAGAGAGGCCGGUGCAGGGAGAGGAGCAGCUCCAGGCUCUGGAGAACAUGACUCCAAUUAAGCUGUGGAAGCCUGGCUCACGCUCCAGUGCCUCAGCCCAGUUGUCCUAGACAGCGAGACACAGCCAACCCAGGGAAAUGAACUCUGCCAGCAUAGUCAAGAUAGUCACUGAGAGAGUUAGAUUCUGCUUUACAAACAAUUUUUAGGAGAUAAGGACUCAUUGGGAUCAAUCAAGAACUGCAGAAUGAAACUGAACAUGAAAUCACAAUGAUGAUUAUUACAGUUUUGAUAAAACAAAUAAUUUAAAAAUUAAACCAAAAACCACAAGGAAAGAGAAACAGAGAUGAUAGCUUGUUUUCUGUUUUGAGAGCCCCAGAGAAAAAAUGCAGAGUUAAGCACACAGUAAUAGAUGAGAGCGAUUGAGAGGCCUCGUUUUCCCCUGUGAUUAAAAAUGUAUGUUGCCACACGCAGCCUUUGGUGUGGAACUCUCCUGGAAAAGGAGCUGGUUAAUAUUCAGGCCCAUGUCUGGCUAAUGUCUUAAAGUGAUAAAUAGGAGGGGGUUGCUGCCGUUUGAUUGUUCUUCACAGGCAGUCUGGGAGCAGCAGCACAGGGGGAUUUAAGGUGGAGGAAUCCUCUCAAAGCUCCUCAUUCAUUCACUCUCAGACGCCCCAUCAUUAAUUGGGCCUGUCGACAUGACUCCUCUGUACCCAGGGCCACUGGCAGCUACCAUGGUGGAUGAGCUUUUUAAGACAGUUCAAAAGAGUCCUUGCCUCAUGAAAGGCAUUCAAAUUACAUGAAAUUGCAUUCAUGUCAAGCCUUGCAGGCAUAUUCAUACAGUACACUGGCAUAAUGUCUUG